rnacentral:rRNA from 1 species
CUUGCGUCCGGUGAAUCACCCAGCUCUCGCGGCUGGGGCAUUUUGCCGGCUCAGGCCAGCAUCAGCUUGCCGUCGGGGACAAAAGCUUCGGGAAAGUAGCUCUCUUCGGGGAGUGUUAUAGCCCGUUGCAUAAUACCCUUCGGUGGGCUGAGGUACGCGCUCCGCAAGGAUGCUGGCGUAAUGGUCAUCAGCGACCCGUCUUGAAACACGGACCAAGGAGUCAACCUUAUGUGCGAGUGUUUGGGUGUUAAACCCCUACGCGUAAUGAAAGUGAACGCAGGUGAGAGCUUCGGCGCAUCAUCGACCGAUCCUGAUGUUCUCGGAUGGAUUUGAGUAAGAGCAUAUAGGGUUGGACCCGAAAGAAGGUGAACUAUGCGUGUAUAGGGUGAAGCCAGAGGAAACUCUGGUGGAGGCUCGCAGCGGUUCUGACGUGCAAAUCGAUCGUCAAAUAUGCG